CACAUCCUGUGGGGAGAGUGGCCACAGCCCGUUGGUGGCCUGGCUACGCCAAAUGAUGGCUUUGGAUGGCUCAAAGGAUGGCCCAAGCACUCAGAUGAUGGCUAUGGCAUCCCAACUCACGGCAAUGACAUUCCAACCAAUGGUGGCCAGGACGCCUCCAUUCAUAUCUGGGCACCCCAUUCGCGGCCAGGACACCCUGUUCAUGACCAGGACACCCCAAAUGAUGGCUGAAGAACCCACCAACCCACGACGUGGGAUGCCCCAUUGAUGGUCCAAAGCCACCCCGCCAGCCUCCUCGUCCCCGACUCACAUAGAUCUCAUCGAACUUGCCGAAAUCCAUCGUCUUGAAGCGGUCGAUCGGGGGUCGGAUGUACUCACAGUACGAGCUGGACUUCACCACCUCCAGCUGCCGCACGCACGACACAUACGCCAACCGCGACUGGAUCUCUGCCAUGUCGGGCACCUGCCAGGAUGGGGUGUUCAGCACCCUGCGCUGUCCCCAUGGCUGUCCCCACGGGUGUCCCCACGGGUGUCCCCAUGGGUGUCCUCCAUGUUCCGUUACUCCUCACCUUGACUUUUUCAGCCCAAGGGUUGAGGCGCUUCCAGAGCAGCCACCAGCCCGACAGGCUGUCCCCGUAGUUGCACAGGUCCGUCUCGUCCUGGCUGCCCACGUCGAUGGCAAUCACCGUCUUGGCACCCAUGUUGCGGGCGAUGUCAGCUGUAAGGGUGGGGAAGGAGGAAGAUGGGUCGGCAGCUCCACGGUUUCCCCCAUGAGAAGCGGUGGCAGAAGCGGAGCAGGGCAAAGGACCAUUCCCAACCAUGGGCCAGACAGCAAAGUCAUGCCGGGGCCAGUGGGGGGACAAACAGUGUCCCACGGGCAUUGGAUUUGAGGGCACAACGUGCUGGUGGGGAGCAGAGCAGCGAUGCACGUGUAGGGGUGAUGGAAGGAAGCAGGCAAGCUGCGGUGUCUGUAAAUGUGGAGGAACCCCAGGAAGAUACGCAGUGCUGAGGAUACCAGGAGAUGAUGCAAGGUGGAUGGGGAAGGGUUGAACAGGGAGGAGGACGGAGGUGCCCCGGGGGACAAUUGGAGCUGAGAGCAUCAAGAGAUGGUGAUGUAGUGGGGAGGAAGCUGGCUUGCAUGUGAGGAGGAUGGAGAUGCUCCAGAAGAGCACUUGGUGCCAAAGACACCAAGAAACAUGAUUCAGGAUGGCUGCACGUGAAGGAGCACAAAGAUGCCCCAGGAGGGCACCCAGCAGAUGGCGUAGGACAGAGGGAGGUGGCAAGUGGAGGAUGGAAAUGUCCUGGGGAGGACAUGAGGUGUCAAAGACACCGUGAGGUGGUGGGAAAUGCCACACGCAGCAUGAAGGGCAUCUGGUGCUGAAGACACCAACAGGUGUUCAGAAAAUAGAUGGCCAUGUCUUGUCAUACGAAGGACACAGAUGCCCAAAGAGGGCACCCAGUGCUAAGGACACCUAGAGAUGAUGCAGGAUGGAGGGAGGUGGCUGGCACAUGCAGGAGGAUGGAGUUGCCCUGGGAAGGCACGUGGUGCCACGGACAUCAGGAGAGGAGGAUGCAAGUUGGAUGGAAGUGGGGAAGGAGUGCAGGAGAGCACCCAAUGCCAAAGGACACCAAGAGAUGAUGCAACACGGAGGGAUGUUUUUUGUGCACGUAGGAUGAUGAGAGGACGGACACCUAUCGCUAAGAGAAGACGCAAGAUGAAGGGCUGCAUCCUGUAUGCCAAGAAGCAUGAAGAUAUCCUUGGAAGCAGGGGCCAACAAGACCCAGUGCAAGAUGGACGGACACCUUUUGCACAGGAACAAGGAUGAAGAUGCCCCAGGAGGGCACCCAACACUGAAGACACGAACAGGCAAGUCAAAAGUAGGUGGGACAGCCCAAAUCCAGCCUCAGCGUCGCCUUGAAGAGCACUGAAGCCCCAUCCCGUGGUGGCCACACGGUCCCAACCCAACUGCCCACCACCGGGGCUGGACCCGGUGACCAAAAGCCAACGCAAGAUGGAUGGGCACCUUUUGCACAGGAAUGAGGAAGAAGAUGCCCCAAGAGGGCAGCCGACACUGAAGAAACCAACAGGCAACUCAAAACCAAGCUGGACGGCCCAAAUCCAGCCUCAACAGUAGCUUGAAGAGCACUGAAGCCCCAUCCCGUGGUGGCCACGUGGCCCCAACCCAACUGCUCACCACCGGGACCGGACCCAGUGAGGGCGGUGGGAUGCUACUUGCCUGGCAGGUUGUUGAUGUAACCCCCGUCCAUCAGCAAGUUGCCGUCCUUGGGGUCGCAGAGGGGUGGCAGGUACCCAGAUAGGGUCAUGCUGGCUCGCACGUACCGCCAGAGCGAGCCUGCACCGGCGGGGAACAAUUGCAGUGAGCACGGCUUGCCCCGUGCCUGCCUGAGCCCCCCAGGGGGCUGCCCCUCACCCCUGCCCUUGCCCAGGGAUGUCUGCACCCCACGGGGGUCCAGUGGGCACCCAUGGGUGGCAGAGGGGCCGUUUGCAAAGCUCCACCUGGAAUGGGAUAUGUGUGAUUUUUUUU